CCAGCCCUGGUGUAGUCGGAAGCACGGCGGAGCUCGGGUUUCUGAUCUGAGCGCAUAGUUCCGCAGGUCUGGGUUCGAAUCCCAGGGGCGGGA